rnacentral:misc_RNA from 6 species
UGCGCGUCGGGAACUCGACGGCGACAAGGACGGAGACCUGUUGCAACGUGAGGGUGCGCGUGCUCUUCGCGGAUGUGCGGUUUAACGACGAAGGGAACCGAGUUCGCUCGUUCCUUCCAUCCUGGACCUCAGCUCAGGCGUGACUACCCGCUGAAUUUAAGCAUAUCAAUAAG